rnacentral:rRNA from 1 species
CCUACGGGAGGCAGCAGUGGGGGAUAUUGCACAAUGGGGGAAACCCUGAUGCAGCGACGCCGCGUGUGGGAAGACGGUCCUCUGGAUUGUAAACCACUGUCCCCAGGGACGAAGAUGACGGUACCUGGGGAGGACGCUCCGGCUAACUACGUGCCAGCAGCCGCGGUAAUACGUAGGGAGCGAGCGUUGUCCGGAAUUACUGGGUGUAAGGGGAGCGUAGGCGGGACUGCAAGUUGGGUGUAAAAUCUACCGGCUCAACCGGUAGCCGCACUCAAAACUGCAGUUCUUGAGUGAAGUAGAGGCAGGCGGAAUUCCUAGUGUAGCGGUGAAAUGCGUAGAUAUUAGGAGGAACACCAGUGGCGAAGGCGGCCUGCUGGGCUUUGACUGACGCUGAGGCUCGAAAGUGUGGGGAGCAAACAGGAUUAGAUACCCUGGUAGUC